GAUGAACGCUGGCGGCGUGCCUAAUACAUGCAAGUCGAGCGAAUGGAUUAAGAGCUUGCUCUUAUGAAGUUAGCGGCGGACGGGUGAGUAACACGUGGGUAACCUGCCCAUAAGACUGGGAUAACUCCGGGAAACCGGGGCUAAUACCGGAUAACAUUUUGAACCGCAUGGUUCGAAAUUGAAAGGCGGCUUCGGCUGUCACUUAUGGAUGGACCCGCGUCGCAUUAGCUAGUUGGUGAGGUAACGGCCCACCAAGGCAACGAUGCGUAGCCGGCCUGAGAGGGUGAUCGGCCACACUGGGACUGAGACACGGCCCAGACUCCUACGGGAGGCAGCAGUAGGGAAUCUUCCGCAAUGGGCGAAAGUCUGACGGAGCAACGCCGCGUGAGUGAUGAAGGCUUCCGGGUCGUAAAACUCUGUUGUUAGGGAAGAACAAGUGCUAGUUGAAUAAGCUGGCACCUUGACGGUACCUAACCAGAAAGCCACGGCUAACUACGUGCCAGCCGCCGCGGUAA
rnacentral:rRNA from 1 species